UACGUAGGGAGCGAGCGUUGUCCGGAAUUACUGGGUGUAAAGGGGUGCGUAGGCGGCCUUGUGGGUCAGGCGUGAAAUACAUGGGCUUAACCCAUGGACUGCGCUUGAAACUAUAAGGCUUGAGUGAAGUAGAGGCAGGUGGAAUUCCCGGUGUAGCGGUGAAAUGCGUAGAGAUCGGGAGGAACACCAGUGGCGAAGGCGGCCUGCUGGGCUUUAACUGACGCUGAGGCACGAAAGCAUGGGUAGCAAACAGG
rnacentral:rRNA from 1 species